GAUGAACGCUAGCUACAGGCUUAACACAUGCAAGUCGAGGGGCAGCAUGGUCUUAGCUUGCUAAGGCUGAUGGCGACCGGCGCACGGGUGAGUAACACGUAUCCAACCUGCCGUCUACUCUUGGCCAGCCUUCUGAAAGGAAGAUUAAUCCAGGAUGGGAUCAUGAGUUCACAUGUCCGCAUGAUUAAAGGUAUUUUCCGGUAGACGAUGGGGAUGCGUUCCAUUAGAUAGUAGGCGGGGUAACGGCCCACCUAGUCAACGAUGGAUAGGGGUUCUGAGAGGAAGGUCCCCCACACUGGUACUGAGACACGGACCAG
rnacentral:rRNA from 1 species